CCCUUAGAUGUCCUGGGCUGCACGCGCGCUACACUGAUGUGUCCAGUAAGCACCUAACCUCUUCCGAAAGGAACGGGUAACCUUUGCAAAGCACAUCGUGAUGGGGAUAGAUUAUUGCAAUUAUUAGUCUUGAACGAGGAAUUCCUAGUAAGCACAAGUCAUCAGCUUGUGUUGAUUACGUCCCUGCCCUUUGUACACACCGCCCGUCGCUCCUACCGAUUGAAUGCUCAGGUGAGCCAUUCGGACCUUCAUCAUGCCGGUUUCCGGUUUUGAUGAGGGAAAGUCUUGCGAACCUUAUCAUUUAGAGGAAGGAGAAGUCGUAACA
rnacentral:rRNA from 1 species